GAUUUUUACAUUUUUGGACUCAGGACACCUUGAAACGUCGAGAAAUGCAAAGAAAAGAGCAGUGCUCGUAUCUUUAUAGAUGGAAAUCAAAUAGUUUGUUAUGCAAAAUUCUCUUCACCUAGUCUUGUUGGGUAUGAAUACAGUACGACAGAGUCUGAGUACUGAUGUGAAGUUCGCCAAUUACCAGAUUCGUGAUAUUUUUCUCGAGUUGACGUACCUUUCUUACGCAUGGACGACCCUUGACAACGUCUUGUAAAGUAGCACUUUUAAAGGAAGGUGGAGGAACCAGAAAGAAUCCUGAAAUUCCCAACAUCGAUCCUCUCUGGUAUGAAUGCCGCUGGGGUCGAAAGAAAUAGGCUAAUCGAAAUUUCAGUUUCGACUUAUUCGACAGAAUGUCAAAUUUAUUCGGUUGAAGAAAACUUUCAAUUCCUUUCAAAUGAUAUAACUUUCGAUCUUAUUACGUUUAAAAUAUUUAAACUGUGAAUAUUCUAUUUCCAAUCCAUCCGAGUUCAAUAGCGACUCGGAAGUAAGAAUUGAAUUUAAGAUUAAAAAUAAAUAAAUUCAAUUUUACUUUUCAUUACAUAAAGAUCAUAAAGUUAAAUUCGGCAGCAUUUAAAUUUUAAAAUUGCUAUUUAACAAUAAAAUUUAGCGAGUUUUAACGUUCGAAUUUACAUAUUUAAAAUAUAUAUUCAUAUAUAUAUAUAUAUAUAUUAAAAUUUACACUAAACGAAUUAAUAUUUAAAUAAAAACGGGUAUUAAAAAUUUAUUUUUAUGUAGUUAUAGUAAGAAAAUUUCGACUGAAUCUAGCGAAAAAUUAAUAUUGUGAAUAAAUUUCUGUGGUGUGAUAAAAGAUGAAAGACAUUGUGAGGCGGUUAAAUAUCGAGAAAGGAAUGGUUUCUGUAAAUAUCUGUAUAUCUGACGUGACUUGAAGGCAUGCCAACCAGCCGCUUGAAUUGGUCAUUGAGCUCUACUGGCAACUGACAGCUUUCUGAUGGGUUAUGAAGGAAUUUCACCGAUCCAGAACCUCUCGAUUGCUUAAGCAAACAAUUCUAAGAACGUCACACACAAAAUGAAUUUAAUCUCCAUAUUUUCUCCUAGAAGAGACCGAAAUUUAAUAUUUUACAUUA